rnacentral:rRNA from 1 species
UACAGAGGGGGCGAGCGUUGUUCGGAAUUACUGGGCGUAAAGGGCGCGUAGGCGGCCUGCUAAGUCGGACGUGAAAUCCCUCGGCUCAACCGGGGAACUGCGUCCGAUACUGGCGGGCUUGAAUCCGGGAGAGGAAUGCGGAAUUCCAGGUGUAGCGGUGAAAUGCGUAGAUAUUGGGAGGAACACCAGUGGCGAAGGCGGCUCACUGGACCGGUACUGACGCUGAUGCGCGAAAGCGUGGGGAGCAAACGGG